ACAUUUACCAGAGAAGCACUGAUCAGGACAAAAGAAGUGCAGAACUUUUCUUUAUAUUUAUUUACUUCAACAGCCAUUAUAUCAGCACAUUAUGUAUAGGUUACCUUCAGCAAGUUGCCUUAGCUGGAAGAUUGGAACAUAUACAAUAAAAAUGUCACAAUUGUAUGAUUUCACUUUUAUUUAUUUAUUUAUUUAUUUUUGUUUAUUUUUUUAUUAUACUUUAAGUUUUAGGGUACAUGUGCACAACGUGCUAGUUUGUUACAUAUGUAUACAUGUGCCAUGUUGGCAUGCUGCUCCCAUUAACUCGUCAUUUAACAUUAGCUGCAUGCAUACUGUCACCAAGCAAAUAUAAGAGGAUGGAUGGUCCUGUGCUUAACCUAAAGGUACUCCACAAACCCACAAAAGAGCAGAAGAAACCAAGCUAUGAAAGAUCAGACAAAGAGGAAGAAAAUGCUGUUUUCAGCAACAUAUGAAAACUUUAUGUUGUUUCCAGUCCUGAUAACAACAGAGUGACAGCACAUAUAUGGCUGGUAUUCAAGGGUCCAAGAUCAAUGAAAGAAAACACAAGAAAAAGAAUUGAAAGUAUCUUACAUCAGAUGCUGAAGAACCACUCAGGAUCCUUGACUACAGAUCUGAAUUCUCUGAGGCUUAUGGGUAAGCUCAUGAUGGGAGUGG
rnacentral:lncRNA from 1 species